rnacentral:rRNA from 1 species
UAAGGAAUAUUGGUCAAUGGACGCAAGUCUGAACCAGCCAUGCCGCGUGAAGGAUGAAGGUCCCCUGGAUUGUAAACUUCUUUUAUCUGGGACGAAAACGGGAUUUUUAUCUCAAUUGACGGUACCAGAGGAAUAAGCACCGGCUAACUCCGUGCCAGCAGCCGCGGUAAUACGGAGGGUGCAAGCGUUAUCCGGAUUCACUGGGUUUAAAGGGUGCGUAGGUGGGCAGGUAAGUCAGUGGUGAAAUCUCCGGGCUUAACCCGGAAACUGCCGUUGAUACUAUUUGUCUUGAAUAUUGUGGAGNUAAGCGGAAUAUGUCAUGUAGCGGUGAAAUGCUUAGAUAUGACAUAGAACACCAAUUGCGAAGGCAGCUUACUACACAAUCAUUGACGCUGAGGCACGAAAGCGUGGGGAUCAAACA